GAGGUUGUAGCUCAGUGGUAGAGCACUUGCCUGGCAUGUGUGAGGCACUGGGUUCAAUUCUCAGCACCACA
rnacentral:tRNA from 1 species